rnacentral:rRNA from 1 species
GAUGAACGCUGGCGGCGUGCCUAAUACAUGCAAGUCGAGCGAACGGACGAGAAGCUUGCUUCUCUGAUGUUAGCGGCGGACGGGUGAGUAACACGUGGAUAACCUACCUAUAAGACUGGGAUAACUUCGGGAAACCGGAGCUAAUACCGGAUAAUAUUUUGAACCGCAUGGUUCAAAAGUGAAAGACGGUCUUGCUGUCACUUAUAGAUGGAUCCGCGCUGCAUUAGCUAGUUGGUAAGGUAACGGCUUACCAAGGCAACGAUGCAUAGCCGACCUGAGAGGGUGGUAGGACACACUGGAACUGAGACACGGUCGAGACUCCUACGGGGGGCAGCAGUAGGGAAUCUUCCGCAAGGGGCGAAAGCCUGACGUAGCAACGCCGCGUGAGUGAUGAAGGUCUUCGGAUCGUAAAACUCUGUUAUUAGGGAAGAACAUAUGUGUAAGUAACUGUGCAGAUCUUGACGGUACCUAAUCAGAAAGCCACGGCUAACUACGUG